rnacentral:rRNA from 1 species
GAUGAACGCUAGCGGCAGGCCUAAUACAUGCAAGCCGAACGGCAAGUUUGAUAGCAAUAUUGGACCUAGAGUGGCGCAAGGGUGCGUAACACGUAUGCAACCUGCCCUCGACAGGAGGGUAGCUCCCCGAAAGGGGAAUUAACCCUCCAUAACACCAUGAGAAGGCAUCUGAUUAUGGUUAAACCGCAAGUGGUCGCGGAUGGGCAUGCGGUUGAUUAGCUAGUUGGCGGGGUAAAGGCCCACCAAGGCGGUGAGCAAUCGGGAUUCUGAGAGGAAGGUCACCGACACUGACACUGGGAUACGGGCCAGACUACUACGGGAGGCAGCAGUAGGGAAUAUAGGAGAAUGGUUGCAAGACUGAUACAGCGAUGCCGCGUGGAGGAAGAAGGCCUUCUGGGUCGUAAACUGCUUGUUACUGUGGAUAAAAUACCAGAGCGCGGGGAAUUGAAGGUAACAGGAGAAUAAGCCACGGCUAACUACGUG